rnacentral:rRNA from 1 species
UACGAAGGGGGCUAGCGUUGCUCGGAAUCACUGGGCGUAAAGCGCACGUAGGCGGAUUGCUAAGUCAGGGGUGAAAUCCUGGAGCUCAACUCCAGAACUGCCCUUGAUACUGGCGGUCUCGAGUCCGGGAGAGGUGAGUGGAACUGCGAGUGUAGAGGUGAAAUUCGUAGAUAUUCGCAAGAACACCAGUGGCGAAGGCGGCUCACUGGCCCGGUACUAACGCUGAGGUGCGAAAGCGUGGGGAGCAAACAGG